GAUGAACGCUGGCGGCGUGCCUAAUACAUGCAAGUCGAACGGAGUGCAGCGAUGCAUUCAGUGGCGAACGGGUGAGUAACGCGUUGGUAACCUGCCCUGGAGAGAGGGAUAACAGGCCGAAAGGCUUGCUAAUACCGCAUGAGCAGUGGAGGAAUAGCAGCUUCACUGCAAAGGGAGUAAUCCGCUCUGGGAGGGGCCUGCGACCCAUCAGCUAGUUGGUAAGGUAACGGCCUACCAAGGCGAUGACGGGUAGGGGACCUGAGAGGGUGGCCCCCCAAAUGGAACUGAAACACGGUCCAUACACCUACGGGUGGCAGCAGUAGGGAAUAUUGUUUAA
rnacentral:rRNA from 1 species